CGAAUCAUUAACUAAUUUUCAUGCAAUAGUUAAACUUGAUGGUUCGAAAAUUUUAAUUACGAGUAAAUAAUCUAUACUAUUAAAACAUGAUCACUCAUUUUUUUCUCUUUAAUGAAAAACUCAAUUUUAUCUAAAAUGUCUAUACUUUUCCAAAGAAAUAUUAAUUCUCACUAGUGGCAUUUUAAUCUUUUGGUUUUGGCAUAUAACAAUACAGCUCAAACAAAUCAUGAGUUUGGGUUAUAAUAAUCAAACAUUAUUCAUUAAAUAAAUGUUCAAAUUUGAAAACUCAUCAGUAUCAUUUGAGAAAAACAUUUUAUCAUACACGAAUGAAAUUUAGUCUUAAAUAUAGUCCAUAAAUCAAAAUUUUAGUGGUCAUACUUUUUAUACACAUAAAAUUCAUUAAGAAUUACAUCUUUAUUAAACUCAUUAUACACAAACAAUACUUUUAUUAUACACACACCAGUAGGAAACAGCUUUAACCACAUUUUUUUAUUCUUUAAAAUCAUAACUACUCAACAUUACAAUAUAACAAUGUACUACAACAAUAUGACUAUAGCCCAUCGAGACAUAUCAAAUUCGACCACGUGAUAUAUUAUUUUCUAAGAAAUCAGAUUCAUUCAUUUGAGUCCACGUGUUUGUUCUUUUAAUUUCUUUAGAUUCAAAUCAUUUUUAAAAAGACUACCUCCAACUAGUUAAUAACGUUUUGUGGGUUUUUACCGGGUUCGAAGAUUUUAAAUUAAAUAUUUUUUCAACUAAUCUGAACUGGAUUAUAUACAAAGCGUCAUGUCUACCGAUUCGACCACGGGUCUGGGUUACAUACAAAAAAACUGCUUCAAACUCAACCAUUAUAAUAGAAAAACUUUUAAAUUAUUUGUUAUCUAAUAAAAAGUUAUAAAUUCAUCCAUAUUUUAUCAAAAUGGAAAACAAAAAAAAGACACACACGCUUUGAAAGAACGUGCCAAAAAUAGUAGUAGCUUCUAAAUAGAAUAUGAUUAAAAAUAAUGUAUAUUGAUGGUUAAAAUUAUGAUACAAAUGCAUGACAAGAAAACACAUUUCCAAAUUUAAAAUCGACAAUUCAUAUCAUUACGACAUUUCAAUAAUGAGUUUUUUCAAUAUAGAAUAUAUAUACUAUUAAAUCACAUAUAAAAUCUUUAAAUCUAUAUCAAACAAAUACCACACUUGAAAAAAGCAAAUAAUAAAAACAUCUAUACUCAAUUUUUAAAAAUCAAAAUGAAAACAAUUGUAGUGUUUAUAUCAAUUUUGGACCAUAAGUGAAAAAGCGAACUCGCAUGUUAACAUUUGGAUAACAACAUGAUUUGGAAUUGUGAUAUUUUUACUUUAAAAUCAUAUAUAUUGUAUAUGAGUUGUAGAUAAUAUAAAAUUUCAAUGUUAUAAACAGUAAAUAACACAUAAAUAAAUUACUUUUAUAUUAUACUUCUAAAUUAAUAAAAUAGACAAGUUAGAGACUCAAAAUUUUAUAAUUUGAAAGAUAAUAGCUUUAUUUGUAAUAAACUUAAAACAUAUAACAUCAGUUAAAUCAAACUCAAUAAGCACCUAAAGCUCUUCCAUUUUUCUCGUGUCGACUUGUGUCUCAAGCUCUUCAUACUUGUCCAGUAAAUUCCAGAUGCAAUCUUGAAGUUUUGUUUUGAGUAACGCUUGAACCGGUCCUUAAUUUGGACCCAGUGUAUACUUUAAUGUAUGGAGUCUUCUUUAGCAUUCAUACUGUGUGAUAUUGAAGUAGUCUAUGGUGACUUAUGUUGGACAUAAUAGUAAAUAUUCAAAGUCUUACUUCAUGUUUUAUUCCUCGACUGAAGUAGUCGAUGGUAACUUCUGCUUGUACUUAAAUUUUAUCUCUUUGUACAUUAGAAAAUUUAACAUUUCUUCCUCAAUCUUCAAUAAAAUUAAUAUAAAUACUACCGAUCCACAAAAAUUUCUUUACACCUCUUCAUUCUCAAAUAGAAAUAAAGCAAAAGCAAAAAAGUUCUUUCAUAAUGUCUUCUUCAAGACUCACAAUUGGAGUCCAGUGAGUGCAUUAUCCGAAGUGUCAGCAAAGCCAUUGGGUGUCAGUGGAGAGAAACUGAGCUUGGUUUACUUACACAACCAUUGGAGAUCAGCAGAGUUUGAGCCCCAAAAUUGGACACUAAUGCCUCCUCCAUCAAAACGCGGAAUGAUUGUGGACCCUCCCGUCAAGACAGCAACACGUUUUAAGGUGGUGGCAAAGAGAGCAUCAUUGAAGCCGGUUUCGUGAUUAUUCACUCUUGCUUGGAUCUACUUAUCUUUUGAUGACGUUUAGUGAUGUGUUAAGACCUUAUUUCUGUCUAUGUUUGCUACGGUUGUUUGCUUCAUGUUUUCUGAAACUUAUUUUGUAUUGUUGGUUACAUCUAUUGAUCACAUUUAUACGAAUAUCCCAUAUUUUAUAUAUAUUAUGUUAUAUAUGAAUAUUUGCACAUUUUACAUGCAAAAAUGAAUGUUAUUUUUAACCAUCUAAUUAUUUAAACUUUGAAGUAUGCAUCUUAAAUUAAAGAAGAUGAUUUUACGGAUACCUUUCAGCCAUAUCAUCAUAUAAUAAGCAAAUAAUGAGCAGAUAAUGAGGAAAUAGUGAGAAGAAGAAUGUCGUUUGUUAAUAUAAAAAUAGGUAAAAAUUGUGGAGAUCUAAGUUUGAGUGGAUCAUCCGAUUACAUAGUAAUUGAGUUUGUAGUUUAUUUGAUUCAUUAAAGAUUGAAUACUGUAUUGUAUAACUAUAAAAAGAUAAUUUAAUAUAUAGACAAAAAAAACCGUGGCUAGAAUAUUAUGUAUAUAAAGUUAUAUUACAAUUUCUAUCUUUAUACAAUCCUAACCAUUGUACCUCUUCAUCUUUCUCUUUUGUUCUUCUUUUUGUUUUCAACUCCAUCACUUUUCAUUUGAUCUAAAUUUCAUAUACCAAUAUGAUUAAGUCAACCAACUAUGUUAAAAACAUAUACAUCACUUACAUAUGACAUAUUUAGAAAAAUUCAAACAGACAUAAAUUUCACAUUCUAUUUUUUUUUUCUUAACAAGAACUUUUAGUUCUAUUCUAUAUUAAUUUUUAUAGAAUAACACAUACUUUUAAACUCAGGAAUUCUAUAUUUUAAAGUAAAUACAUUUCAUAUUGAGUCAUUUAGCUAAAUAAUGUUUGAAAUGUGUCUAUAGAAUGCAAUUGCUCUUUCAUAUUUACAGAAACCAUAUACGCAUCAGAUAUGCAGUUUAAUUGUUAAAACAUUCAAUCAAAUGAAAUACUUUCACAUGUAUAUUACAUGGUUACCAAACAUGGAACAAUUUUUUUUAUAAUUUUUGUACUUACAUCAAUCAUAUACACAACAUAACAGAGGUCCGGCCGUCCAAAUGAUCGACAUCUACCUACCACAAAUACAUAAUAACUAGGUGAUAAUCUGCGCCGUGCGCGGGGUAUAAAAUCUAUAAAUGAAUUUUGAUUUGAAUAAUGUAUAGAGUUUAUAUUACGUUGAUUAGUGGUUAUUGAACGUCUAAAAUAAUGAAAAAAAUUAUAAUUUUGUUUCUACGCAUAAUAAUUACAAUUCAAAAUAUAACUCAAACGGAUUGAGCCGUAUUAUAAAAUUAAGGUAUAAGGCCGAGAAAAAAUUGUAAACCAUAUUGUAUUGUAUCUAACUUAUUGGGCUUACAAUAUCAAAUGGGCUAUGUUUUUGUUUUGUUCUCUAUUUACUCAAGAGAAGCGACAGAAAAAAAAAUCUCCACGGUGUUUCGAUGGUCGGAAUAGAAAGGGGAUAAGGGUUUCUCAAUUCGGAUUGCACCCAACCAGCGAAAAAGAUUCGAUGGCUUAAACUGGUUCGCUUUCUUCAGCGAGGGUUCGUUUAUCUUAACAAAUGUGUGAAAGGGUUUAGUGUCGAUGGUCUUAACUGAUGAUGGUAUACCUAGUGUGAAUCCCCUUUAUAUAUAAGAGAACGUUAGGGUCGUGAAUAUGUUAUUUCAAUAUAUUAUAAAUUUAUGAGCACAAUUUAAUGUUUCGCUUGGCAACCAAACAAUUUCCUUUGUUCAAUCAAAUCGUUAUUUACUAUAAUAUUUGUUUGACAAUAUUACCUUGUAUAAGAAAGAUCUGAUAUAUUGGAAGUAUAGUUCUUUGAGUGCA